CCUGUCUUAACCUACUUGGCUUUGCAGCAUGCAACAGGAGCAAAGCACGACAAAGGCAGCCAGAUGUGGUUUAAGGUUUUGUUUGCUAAAAGAAGACGUCCAAAGUUCAUUCGGUAAGCUCAAACUCGCUGAGUCCAAACUCGCUGAGUCCGGGGCAGGCGCUUCCAGACGGCUCUGCGUCCCUUUCAAUGAAAUUCUUCUUCCAUUAACGACAGGGUUUUUAAACGUGCCUCCAAGACCUGCCUGCACGUACUGUACACCAAACUAAGGCGACAUUUUCCCCCAAAAAAGGCAAGCUGAAUUUGGAAAAGUCAGACCAACUAGGGAGCUCUGGAAUUUCUAAAGUUUGCCUUAAAGCAAAAAAAAAAAAAAA
rnacentral:lncRNA from 1 species